rnacentral:rRNA from 1 species
AUGCUAUCAAAACAAUGCUGGCGUCUCAUAACCAAUCCAGAGUCUCUUUGUGCGAGGGUACUAAAAGCGAAAUAUUUUCCUAAUCAUAGUCUGCUCCAUGCUACAUUGAAAAAUGGAUCCUCCUUCACUUGGCAAAGUAUCAUGAAAGGAUUGGAAACUUUCAAAUUGGGAUACAUUUGGAGGAUUGGAAACAGUGAGAAGGUCAAUAUAUGGACUGAUCCAUGGAUCCCGGGGAGCCCGGAUAGGAAGGUUAUUUCAGGUCGUGGUCACACUCUGCUCAAUUUUGUUAGUGACUUAAUCGAUCCUAUAUCAGGGACAUGGGAUGAAGCACUGCUUCGAACAAUUAUGAAUCCGGUGGACGUUAGGAGAAUUAUGCAAAUACCGCUGAGUCACAAUGCAUUUGACGAUUUUAUUGCAUGGCAUCCUGACCGCAGAGGGACAUUCACAGUAUGACCGGCGUACAAAAUACAGUGGUAUCAGACUUUUGGGACACACACAAACAUGGUUGAACGCCCAAGGCAAUCCCAAGCUCCAGAAGUGUGGACUAGACUCUGGAAACUAAAUAUACCACGUAAAGUUUCCAUAUUUUGCUGGCGUGCUCUUCAUGGAAUCAUCCCUCUAAAAUCCAUACUGAUGAACAGGCAUGUGGGAUCGGAUGGUGCUUGUCCGGUUUGUCAUGGAGCUACCGAGGAUAUAAAACAUCUUCCUUUUGAAUGUUUGACAGCCAGAGAACUUUGGAGAGGCCUGGGCAUAUUGGAAAUUCUUGACGAAGCUGCAACGGUGGAUCGCUCCGGUUCGGUAAUAUUUACUGUUGGCAGAGGAUAA